ensembl:lncRNA
CUAGAAAGGAAUUUGGAGAUGGAACAACCAGGGAGCAGGGGUAGGGGUGGUUGACACUGUUAGGAUUGAUUGGCUACUUUGUUUUUAAGUUUGAGAGGAACAGAGUCACAUUUAUAACCUGAAGUGGGUGAUUCAGUAAAGGAGGAGGAAAUAAAAGAGUGAAUCAGAGGCUUCCCAGAAGAUCUGGAGCUUGACAGGUUGCGCAGUCAUGGCUGACUCUUUGCGACCCCAUGGACUAUAGCCCGCCAGGCUCCUCUGUCUGUGGGAUUCUCCAGGCAGGAACACUGGAGUGGGUAGCCUAUCCUUUCUCCAGGAGAUCUCCCUGACCCAGAAAUCGAACUGGGGUCUUCUGCACUGCAGGUGGAUUCUUUACCAGCUGAGUUACCAGGGAAGCCCCUCUUUGUAUUGUACUUAACUUUUAUUUAAAACUUUUUGAAUGUUUCGAAAUAAAAAAGAAAAGUACUUACACUAUUUGAAAGAUAAAUGUGUUAUAAAUAUAAUGUGUCAUAAAUAUAAGGUUUUAUUAUUUAAAUACAAAGAGCCCUUGAACAUUUUUUAACGUGAUGAGUAACUACCCCCUUUCUUUUCUCCUCAUCCAAGAUUACUGCACUUCAUUUAGGAGACUGAAUGGAAUCUCAACAUUUAAAUACCUAAUCGCUUGCUUUCAUCUCUGGCACAAGUGAACUGGAUUUCCCCACACAUAUGAGUCACCUGAUAACAAAUUUCCCGGCUUAAAUAGCUUUAAAAUGGCACUAUUAGUUAUGCAGCAGUAUGAACUGUGUCUCAGAGUCAAGGAUUUAUAGGAACAAUAUGUUUUUAGCAUUCAUGUUCUUUCUCAACAUGCGCAUUUUUCUUUCAUGCUGUAAAAAAGUUUUUCUGAUGCUGAAAAGUGUUUUGUGCAACUAUUUCAGAAUGAAGCCCCUCUCCUUCUUCUGGCUCCCAGAAAAAUCAGACAGCCUGAUGUGUUUUUCACUUUAAUCUGAAUUGUAAAACACUGCAUUCUUGCAGUUUUCCCACAAACUGAAGUGAAAGAAAUAUGUACUUGCUAUUUUGGGGGGCAUAUGUCUGGGUAAAUAAAACAUGCUCCCAACCUCC